GACGUGUGCCAGCUUUCCAGCCCUAGCUCUCCUCUUUGGUAAUUUGUUGAGCAGUUGCUUGGCUCCUAAUUCAUUCAUGGCUUCUGGAGGUAAAAACAACCCUGGAUUCCAACCUGAUUCUGACAGUGAUGAGCACGUCUAUGCAGAGCCAGAGGAGGUUUAUGACAAUCCUUUUGAUGCAAUGCGGCGCCAGGGAGUAUAUUCUCUCCUGAGACCCCCCUAUAAUAGACAAGAGGCUGUAGAUAGCGAUGAUGAUGCCACCUAUGCCACCCCCUCUUUUGACAGAAUAAUUACUCGCAGACCCAGCACUGGCGAAGUCGAGAGGAUGCCUGGCACGCCCAGUCGGCGUCCCCCCGAACAGUCAGAUAGUGAGUCUGAUUAUGAGGAUAUAGGGGCAUAUGGGCAACCUGCCAGGCAAUCGAUCUAUCAAACACCCAGGAGGUCCACCAUCAGGUGUAAAGUCUCUUCUGUGGGUGAGAACUAUGAUAUCCCUAGGGAUACUCAGGCCAAUACUGUCACUGUGCAAACAACUCAUGGGGGCGCGCGUCCUCGGUCCCGGGCACCCAGGGUUUUGGUUAGACACCCAGAGGCCGGAGGCAACAAACCUGACUUCCUGCCAGUGGACAAACCACUUCCAUCUGUACCUCAACAUGUACCUCAAGGGUAUGAGGAAAUGGCAGGUUCUCCACCCCCAGAACGGGAUGUCAGGUCUCCCAGGCCACAAAGACGGCCAAACCCCCCAGUGAUAAUCUUCUCUGAUUCUGAGACGGAAAGUGACGCGGAAGCUGUUGGGGAGCGUCAGAGGGGAAGUAAGGUUGAUGUUCCUACAUCCUGGAAACGCCUGAUGAUGACUAAGGAGACUGGAACAAAGAGUAAAACCGCUUUUGACAAACUAAAGGGAAGUUUUGAGAAGUUCAUGAGCGGAAAUACAAAAAAUGAGGGCACGGAAGAGCAUCGGUCAGUUGUUAGGAGGAGAGGAGACGGGACUGGGUUCAGAUAUUCAUAUAUGUCCAAAAUGAGCACAGAUUUCCCGGCAGGCCCCACCAGAUGUGCCACUGUGUUAUACUUUGAUGGUGGGAUUGCGGUGGGUAAGACCACCGCCCUGGAGGCUGCUGCUGAGUUUCUGCACAACAUACUUGUGAUCUCAGAACCUAUUCCUUACUGGACUUCCACUUUUGACAAAAAUGUCUGUCAGCAGAUCUACGAUGUGGUCAAGACCAAAGAAAAGGGGAAGAAGCACUCCAAAAAAGUGUUGCAAUGCCAAAUGGCCUUUGCCCAGCCUUUUCAUGCCACCCAGCACCUACUCCGCCGGACGUGUCUAGGUACCAAGGUCUCCGAUGGAACAUGUAACAAUUAUGUGUUGAUUGACAGGCAUAUGGUGUCUCCCACAGUCAUCUUUCCUUGCCUGUUUUUCAGAUUGGGGGUGUUGAGGUUCUGUGAUUUGUUAUCACUAUUGUCUGUGUUUUCAGCACAAAAAUUUGAUAAUGUUGUCUUGUUUAAACUCCAUCCCAAAGUAGCUGCGACCCGAGUCAAGGAGAGGGGGAGAAACCCAGAAGGUGUGAUCAACCACACGUACCUGCAACUCCUCAAUGAAGUAUUGGAUGCCAUUUUUUGUGCCUGGGAACUGUUGGCGAUCGUGCCUCCUGAAGUUAUUGUGGAUGCUAUGCUUUCCCAGACUUCAGUUAAGACUGUGUUUCAGAAGGCUGGCUUUGUUGCACCCAGGGCAAGGCUUAUGGAACAGAUGUUUAGAGAUAGUAUUUUUAAUGACUUGAGAGAAAAUGUGCGUCAGUUGCCACUACAUGGAUCAUCCAUCCCAACCUUGCUACAUAAAUUUUGUUAUGAACUAUCCAAACCACAUAUGGUUAAACUAGAUGCUGGACAGUUUCCUAACGAUGUUCCCGGUUUGUGGACUCACAUAUAUACCCAAAUACUCACAGACCCGGCUAUUAAAACAUGCGACCUGAAAUGGAAUAUCCUAGAAAAGGGCAUAUCUGGUGGAGACCCUCAGUAGUAAUAAAUAGCCAAGCACAAUGGUGACAUGUUUGAAAAAUUUGUUUCUUUACUGUAUCUUUGUGUCCAUGAUGGUGUGGUUGGUGCAUGGGGUAGGCGAUCGUGAUAGUAAGGGCGAGGGGGCCACAAUAAAGGUUAAAAGAAAUGAUAAUGGCGUCAUUUCAGUCUAUAUUGAUGGAAAAGAUUAUGCAUACAUUUUUAACGUGACCAAGGCUUUGCAAGAUCUUGGGAGGGAUCCUAUAAGACAAAUUUGGCGCCAUUCUGAUGUCUUUAAGCCACUGACAAGGACUUUGGCAGAAAGGGAUUCCAUAUUUGUAACCAAUGAUACAAUACACAUAGAUUCAGACAGUCUGUUUGUCUGCCCGGUUGGUAGGGGCUAUCCCACCAUUACCAGCCAGGUUCAGUGGAAAGACCUUCCCCCUGGCUAUCUUGGCAAAUUUGGGUGGCAAAAGAAUAUGGCCCUGAAGGAAUUUAAUGAAAAUGAAAGAUUUACCAUGUUUUCAGAGAAUGAGCGGGAGAAGACACUGGUGGUGGGGAAAGAUAAAUAUGUGGAAUAUGGAAGCCUGACCUGGAUGAUGCCUGAAUGGGGCGGGACCUAUGGAGUUGUGACUAAUAGUUUUGCCUUUGUCUCUGUCAACAUAACUGUGGAGUCCCAAGUUUGUUCUGCGUCCAUAAUUUUUUCCCAUAAUAAAGGUGGACCAAGUUUCAAAGG
rnacentral:tmRNA from 1 species